CGUUACACUUGCGCUACAUUUAGUUUAUGGCGAAAAUUGUGCUUCAGUUAGUUUAAAUAUGAAGCAAAUGUCUUUGCCUGUGUAGCUUGAAAGAUAUAGCUUCCUCUGCACAUUUCUUGUGACAAGGUUUAGAACAUUUUAUUCGCCAUGCAGAUAAUGAGCUCAUUGAGCUGGAAGCGACUAUAUUGGCGUGACCUCAAAAGUUAUUCACCAGCAAUCGACGAAAUAGCAAUAACCAAUUUAUAUCUGGACAAUACGUGUCCUUUUCCAACAAUAACGAGAAACUAUCAGAACCUCUUGCAGGAGCUUCAGUGGCGUAGUCGUCAAUACAAGCGCCUUUCACCUCUGAGUGUUCGUGGGUGCGAUAACUUCGAUCCUGGCUACAGACUGCAGACUCGUGUGACAAGAGCCAUGCAGUAAACGCUCUGCCGAAAGUCGUGGGAUUUCUUCGGAUCGUCCGGUUUCCCUAUACAGGGAAAGUUGUCCGAGGGAGAAUUAGGAUAAAGUCAAGAAGGUGGUGUCACAAUGGACCAAUCCCCAAUUAACCAAUAUUUUGAUCUCUUCAAGUCUAGACAAAAUUCCAUCACAGCAUGAAAGAGCAUCGCAAAAUUAGGC